GACGGAUUGUAUCGACGGAUGCGCGCAACCAUGCGUGUCACACACCGCGGAUUUAGCUGCGGGCUUCUCUCAACUCGCCCGUUUCUUAAUUAAAGAAAAAGUUGAAGACGCAGAAAAUGAAGGAUUAUUGCUCGUCUCGAACGUGUUUCUUUUCUUCCGCCUGUCUUGUGUGAAAUUCAUGCGCUUGAUACACCGUAUGUUUUAGAUGUCUCUACAUCUUAAUACCACAUUACUUUUUGACAACUUGAUUGGUCAACUUUGAACACUUCUCAUUCAAAACUUUUGCAGCCUUGACAUUUUGAUAUUAAGAUUUUCAUCUCCAAAUGAUCUCAGAAAUUUGCCAUUAACGGGUAAUUUUAGGAUACCCUCUAUAUAUUCCUAAAGUUUAUUCAUUAAAAGUUGUCUCUUAACACUCUGUAUAUUUCUGAAUAUUAAUUAAAACAAUAUUUUGUUCGUAAAAUAUGCCGUUAGUUUCAGUGAAAUGUUAUUUGUUGUAUGACAGGCAAUUUUUAAAGAUCGAACAAAUAUGUUAAUCCACAUGAAACAUACAUAUGAUUGAACAUAUCAAAGUUCUACAAUCGACUAUGCUGCUCGCGUUCACGAAAUCCUUAUCGUAUUAUUUGGCAAACAACGACGUUUCGUCCGCUUUGGUCGUCUGUUAAAGCAGCUUGCAGCAGCAGUCACGUUUUACGGUAAGCUUGCUCGAGUUCAGAAACCGUGCGAACGCGCACACGUUUACAAUGCAAACGAUAAAACACGUUUAUUUUAAAAUAGCUUCGCUUCAUAAACACAAUGUACGUGUGAAGUGUCGAAUUCCGUAUGAGGAUCUUUUAAUCGAUAGUAUCGCGUUAGCGGAAUAUUUAUUUAGCUCAAUUUUAUGAAAAAUGUUAAAGGCCAAAAGGCAAUCGAUAGACCGAUAGAACAGAAUGUCCUACAUAGAAUAAAUUUACGCGAGUUUGCGUUUUUUACUCUGUUUACUGACUUUUUCCCGCAACGUAUCUGCAUAGCAACAAGCAGUAUUCCAUUGAAAAUUUUUUCGAUGCCGAAAGUACUUUCAUCGUGAUUUUAGACACUUCCGGUUUGCUUAAUUCUAAACAAUGUCAUUAUUCAAGUAUGCAUCACGUGAUAAUGCGACGAUGGAAGGAGAUAAAAUCGACUUUCAGCGACUGAUGGUUCCAAAUUUUUCACUUUUAUCCUUAUCAUCACUCAUGGUGGUAACAUGUAUAUAUCGAUGCUUUUGCGGGAGAUGAUUCUCCGCGAUAAAAAAUUUAAGGGAGUUACUAUAAAAUGCAAAGUGGAGGCAGAGUUUCGAAAAUUAAGUCUUGCCGAUGGAGCAGAAAAAAAUAUGACAGAAAAAGUAGCAGCACUAUAAAAAUUUUAUAGGAUUAUGUACCGACAAAAAAUCAGAUACAUCAAUCGUCGCUGCGGACGUGCAAUUCCAUUUCCUGCAUUUCAUUUUUUCCGAUCCUUUUAUGUUCUAUGAAAUCAUUGUCACGUAUCGAAAAAAAAAACAAACGAUUCCACGAAAGCUGGAAAAUUUUUCUUGUCGCAGCGACAUUACUUUGAGUAAUCAAUCUGAUAAUAACAAGAUACACCGAGAUAUCGAUACUUAAUCACGAUAGUGCAAUCUUAUUCACGACGCACAGCCUUUUAUUGAGAGUUACAGGUUGACGACCGACGGAAUGUAUAAAUAACGCUACAAAUGCAGCUGCGCAUAUAUAAAUCAAGCUGCUCAAUAAUAAAUCCGCAAUUCAAUCUGAAAUUAUAUCUCGAAGAACGGUGUAUCACGCAGACUCUCCGGAUGAGAAAGGAAGUUAAGGAAAGGAAACGUCGCGCGAACGGCGGGCUUUUGUGCGACGGAAAUCAGGCGACGAGAUCGAUAUACAGCUAUUCGGACCGGCUGUCGAGUGACUGAGCUCUAACGCAUGCAAACGUACCCACAUGACAUCUUUUUUACGGAAAACACUAAUAAAAUAAUAUCGACCGCCAGCUGUCGGAACAAGAUACCUCUGACAUCGUAAAUCAUCCGGCGCUGAACGGAGAAUUUAAUGUAUAAGCUAUAUAGUGAAUGACGUGCGCGUCAAGCCGUCGAUCGAUUCGCGAAUCAAUUAUCGGGUGAUUCAAUUUGAAACACGCCAUUUUUUUUAAUCUAUGAAUCCGAGAUAUUUUCACUGAUAUUAGAUUAUUGCAGAAAUAAUAUUGAUUUUUUACUGAAGUUUACACAAUAAAACUGUAAUGUACGAAAACUAUAGUAAGUGUUUAUUUUAGUCUUGAUUGCAAGUCUUGAUUGUGCAACUUUGAUACGACAACGCCAAUGUUAUUUAUACGACUCUUAAUCUAAUCGCUGUCUUCCUAUCUGCUUCCGUAAUAAAUCAUAGCCAAAAAAUACCAAACUGUCGUGCUGAUUUAAUAACGCGAGAUGUUGCGAACUGUGCAUCAAAUUAAUUGCUAACGCGACAAAGCGUCAUCGUCAACAAGAUUAUUACAUAUUGCAAACGACGGCUAAUAAUAAAGAACAGACAUGUUAUUCCGGGAUUGUGUGUAAAAGUAUUCGA